rnacentral:rRNA from 1 species
CAGGACGAACGCUGGCGGCGUGCCUAAUACAUGCAGGUCGAGCGGACAGAUGGGAGCUUGCUCCCUGAUGUUAGCGGCGGACGGGUGAGUAACACGUGGGUAACCUGCCUGUAAGACUGGGAUAACUCCGGGAAAUCGGGGCUAAUACCGGAUGGUUGUUUGAACCGCAUGGUUCAAACAUAAAAGGUGGCUUCGGCAACCACUUACAGAUGGACCCGCGGCGCCUUAGCUAGUUGGUGAGGUAACGGCUCACCAAGGCAACGAUGCGUAGCCGAUCUGAAAGGGUGAUCGGCCACACUGGGACUGAGACACGGCCCAGACUCCUACGGGAGGCAGCAGUAGGGAAUCUUCCGCAAUGGACGAAAGUCUGACGGAGCAACGCCGCGUGAGUGAUGAAGGUUUUCGGAUCGUAAAGCUCUGUUGUUAGGGAAGAACAAGUACCGUUCGAAUAGGGGGGUACCUUGACGGUACCUAACCAGAAAGCCACGGCUAACUACGUGCCAGCAGCCGCGGUAAU